rnacentral:rRNA from 1 species
GACGAACGCUGGCGGCGUGCUUAACACAUGCAAGUCGAACGGAAAGGCCCUGCUUUUGUGGGGUGCUCGAGUGGCGAACGGGUGAGUAACACGUGAGUAACCUGCCCUUGACUUUGGGCUAACUUCAGUAAACUGGGGCUAAUACCGGAUAGGAGCUCCUGCUGCAUGGUGGGGGUUGGAAUGUUUCGGCGGUUGGGGAUGGACUCGCGGUUUAUCAGCUUGUUGGUGGGGUAGUGGCUUACCAAGGCUUUGACGGGUAGCCGGCCUGGGAGGGUGACCGGCCACAUUGGUACUGCGGUACGGCCCAGACUCCUACGGGAGGCAGCAGUGGGGAAGAUUUCACAGUGGGCGGAAGCCUGAUGCAGCAACGCCGCGUGCUGGAUGACGGCCGUCGGGUUGUAAACCGCUUUCGCCUGUGACGAAGCGUGAAUGACGGUAAUGGGUAAAGAAGCACCGGCUAACUACGUG